rnacentral:lncRNA from 10 species
GCCCGUCCGGUGGGCGCUGCCGGGGGCUGCGACGCCCGGGUCCCUGAGGCUCAGCCUUCGGAGAAGCAGCAGCAGCAUUACCUAGAAGCUUGUCAGAAAUGCAGAAUCCCAGGCUCUCGACCCACCCAGACCGACUGCAUCAAAGCCUGAACAUUAACAAGAUUCCCGGGAGACUCAUAUGCACAUUGCAGUUGGAGACGCAGUUGGAGAACUGAGCUGAAGCAGGGUUCCUCUGCCCUGCCGGCUGCUUGUUCUCUCCUUGUCCCUCCUCCCACAGCCUCCGGAAACCCCAUCUGGGGAGCUGUUCUGCAAAGCUGCACCUUAUCCACCUCCUGGAGCAAAACACGAGCUACCUGCCGGGGACUGUUCAGAGUGCUUCCUGCGAAGUCUCCCACUCAGAAGUCACAGCGAUCCUAGGAGGUAGAUCUAUUCCUGUGCCCGUUUUACAGACAAGGAAACUGAGGCAGAGUUUUGGUAACCGGACUUGCCUUUGGAACCCAGCCGCCAUGCUGUGAGGAAGCCCAGGAUAACCCACGUGGGUAGAGAAUGAGGCUCAGAGAAGCUGUGUGACUUGUCCAAAGCCACACAGCCAUGAAGAAGCAGUACCAAAAAUUAGAACUCAAGACUGCCUGAGAUCUUGCAGCCUCACGUUCCUGAGACUUCCAGGCAGGGCAGGCCCAGAACGGUGGCACCGAUACCACUGCAGAAAGAGUCCAUCUCAGCACUGCCAGUGAUUUGAUGGCAGAAGAUUUUGGAUGCGGCCUCUUUGGACUCUGCACCCCAGCUCAGGUCAGAGCAGACUCCCAGACCCCAGGGAUGAGCUCUAGAAGCACGGGAAGAUCCCAGAGAGGACACUGGGCUGGGCCCUGAGACUGCCCUGUGGGUGGGCUGGAAAUUCCUCUCACUCUCAGCUCUGGCGGGCCAGGGACAGGCCAAGAGGAGUGGCUGAGUGACAUUUCCUCUGCAAUGAUGUCCCCAAUCAGUGGUCACUACAGUCCCACUCAGGACCCUGUACCCCCACAUGCAGGCACAGAGCACAGCCCCGCUCCUGGCAACCUGGACCCUAUGAGAGUGCAUGUGGUCACAUGGGCAGCCCCCAGCCCUGCAGCCACACACACAGUCAUGUUCACAGGCUCACGUCUGCACGCUCACCACGUGUGACAAUACACAGAUGGCUCCCUAGGAAGGACAACACGCGGCCCCUGCGCAUCUGUCCAGGCUCAGCCCUGAUUCCUGAGACUGCCUGGGCAUUGCUCCCUGGAUACGCAGAGGGCCCCGGCCCCCCUGUGUUCCUCUGCUCUGAGUGUGUGUGCACACAGGUGUGCAUGUGUGUGUGCCUGAUUGUGUGUGUGUGAGAGAAUGUGUGUGUGCAUGUGUGUGAGAAUGUGCGUGUGCAUGUGAGUGUGUGUGUGAUGAAGAAGGUUGGGCAGGGGCUUAGAAGCAGCCCUGGCCUUCACUCCACAAAGCAGAGGGUCCUGGAGCUGAAGCCAGUCUAAAAGCCGCAGGUCCUCCCUGUGCUCUGGGCCUCAUUCAGCCCUGGGGACAAGCCCAGUGGAGAGUAGCUCUUAUUCUUCACUUUAGGAAUUGUGAAACAGCCACAGAGAGAUUAAACAGCUCACCCAAAGUCACAAAGCUAGAUUACAGACAGGCAGCUUGGCAGCUCAAAGCCCAAGACCUUAACCACCAGGUUAUGCUGUGGUGGUGGGGUUAGCCCUUGUCACCCACUCUAACCCUCCCUCCUCGCCUGCCCCCUGCUUGGUGUCCCUUGGCACCUUAACCGUUGGUGCUCUUUAAACAGACUGAACUUUCAGUAUUUGCUAUUCUGCCCCCUCCUCGCCUCUCCCCACUGUCACACACAAUGUCAGCCCUACAGAGGUGGGCGUUUGUCCUGUUCUCUCUGUCCCCAGUGUCCUGUGGCACAGUGAGGACUCACAAAUGUGUGUAGAAGGGAGGGACUCCGUGGAUGAAUGAACAGGGUCAUGCAGCCUCAGCACACAGGGCUUCCUGCGUCCCGGUCCCGAGCAGGGGCUGGUGUAACGGGCAGGAGGCUGAGUCCCUUGGGGGCUGCAGGUACCACCCCCACUCCUUCCCGCCCAGCUCUCAGUCUCCCUCUCUGGGUGGGAUGCUGGUGUCUGAGCUGCUGCUGGCGGGGCUUGCUGGGGACUCCCGAGCUGGCCCAGGUGUUCUGGAAGCAACCCCUGUGGCCCUUCCCCCAACGCCUCCCCCACUGUCCUGUUCUGCUCUCCCAGGAUGGCCUCCAGGCUGGGAGGGGGCUGUGACCUCUUGGCGCACACUGGCCCCAAACAGGGCCCAGAGAAGCCGCUGACACCUGCUCCUUUGCCAAGUCUCACCCUCUCUGGUUUCCAUCCUGCCCCAGGGCCCCCAGCUCACCCCACCCUGCCCCUACCAGGCCCUCUGGUGCCCCCGCCCGUCACUAGGUGGCGCCAAGUGCCCUGAGACGGCAGGAAGUUGCCCCAGAAGGGCUCAGGGCUGGGGGUGGAGAGGCCGGUCCCUACAUUCAGGCUCCGACUGGACCUCCUGUCCCCAUGUCCCCUUCCUUGAAUGGCGUGGCAGCCCCUAAGAGAGCUGUGCUAAAGGGUGGUCAUACAUCCCUGACAUGUCCUUGCAAGCC